rnacentral:rRNA from 1 species
GAUGAACGCUGGCGGCGUGCCUAAUACAUGCAAGUCGAGCGAAAAGAUAAGGAGAUUGCUCCUUUGACGUUAGCGGCGGACGGGUGAGUAAAAAGUGGGUAACAUACCUAUUAGACUGGGAUAACUACGGGAAAACGGGGACACUGCCAGCGAACAUUUCGAACCGCAUGGAUCUAAAGAGCAAGGUGGUUUUUCUAUCACUUAUAGCUGGAGCCGCGCCGUCUUAGCUAGUUGGGGAGGUAACGGCCUACCAAGGCAACGAUCCGUAGCCGACCUGAGAGGGUGAUCGGCCACACUGGAACUGAGACACGGUCCAGACUCCUACGGGAGGCAGCAGUAGGGAAUCUUCCGCAAUGGGCGAAAGCCUGACGGAGCAACGCCGCGUGGGUGAUGAAGGUCUUCGGAUCGUAAAACUCUUUUAUUAGGGAAGAACAAAUGUAUAAUUAACUGUGCACGUCUUGACGGUACCUAAUCAGAAAGCCACGGCUAACUACGUG